rnacentral:rRNA from 1 species
UAGGGAAUCUUCGGCAAUGGGGGCAACCCUGACCGAGCAACGCCGCGUGAGUGAAGAAGGUUUUCGGAUCGUAAAGCUCUGUUGUAAGAGAAGAACGUUAGUGGGAGUGGAAAAUCCACUAAGUGACGGUAUCUUACCAGAAAGGGACGGCUAACUACGUGCCAGCAGCCGCGGUAAUACGUAGGUCCCGAGCGUUGUCCGGAUUUAUUGGGCGUAAAGCGAGCGCAGGCGGUUUCGUAAGUCUGAAGUUAAAGGCAGUGGCUCAACCAUUGUACGCUUUGGAAACUGCGAGACUUGAGUGCAGAAGGGGAGAGUGGAAUUCCAUGUGUAGCGGUGAAAUGCGUAGAUAUAUGGAGGAACACCGGUGGCGAAAGCGGCUCUCUGGUCUGUAACUGACGCUGAGGCUCGAAAGCGUGGGGAGCAAACAGGAUUAGAUACCCUGGUA